ensembl:rRNA 5S_rRNA 5S ribosomal RNA
UCCAGCAGCAUACCGCCCUGCAUCCCACUGCUGGCUUGCUUCUGAAGGUAAGCAGGGUUGGUCCUGGUCAGUCCCUGGCGGUGAGACCAGAUGCUGCUGGAA